AGAGUUUGAUCCUGGCUCAGGAUGAACGCUGGCGGCGCGCUUAACCCAUGCAAGUCGAACGGACCGACGUUUGAGUAGACCUUCGGGCGAACGAAGGCGUUGGUUAGUGGCAAACGGGUGAGUAACACGUGGGUGACCUGUCCCAAAGUGGGGAAUAACUGUCCGAAAGGGCGGCUAAUUCCGCAUGUGGUCCGUCAUUCGGUUGGCGGAUUAAAGGAGCAAUUCGCUUUGGGAGGGGCCCGCGGCCGAUUAGCUAGUUGGUAGGGUAAAGGCCUACCAAGGCGAUGAUCGGUAGCUGGUCUGAGAGGAUGAUCAGCCACACUGGCACUGAGACACGGGCCAGACUCCUACGGGAGGCAGCAGGGAGGAAUAUUGGACAAUGGGGGAAACCCUGAUCCAGCGACGCCGCGUGGGCGAUGAAGGUCUUCGGAUCGUAAAGCCCUUUUCUGAGGGAAGAGAUAGGACGGUACCUCAGGAAUAAGUCUCGGCUAACUACGUGCCAGCAGCCGCGGUA
rnacentral:rRNA from 1 species